AUUGAACGCUGGCGGCAGGCCUAACACAUGCAAGUCGAGCGGAUGAAGGGAGCUUGCUCCUGGAUUCAGCGGCGGACGGGUGAGUAAUGCCUAGGAAUCUGCCUGGUAGUGGGGGAUAACGUCCGGAAACGGGCGCUAAUACCGCAUACGUCCUGAGGGAGAAAGUGGGGGAUCUUCGGACCUCACGCUAUCAGAUGAGCCUAGGUCGGAUUAGCUAGUUGGUGGGGUAAAGGCCUACCAAGGCGACGAUCCGUAACUGGUCUGAGAGGAUGAUCAGUCACACUGGAACUGAGACACGGUCCAGACUCCUACGGGAGGCAGCAGUGGGGAAUAUUGGAAAAUUGGCGAAAGCCUGAUCCAGCCAUGCCGCGUGUGUGAAGAAGGUCUUCGGAUUGUAAAGCACUUUAAGUUGGGAGGAAGGGCAGUAAGUUAAUACCUUGCUGUUUUGACGUUACCAACAGAAUAAGCACCGGCUAACUUCGUG
rnacentral:rRNA from 1 species